rnacentral:sRNA from 1 species
GAUGAGACAGUCACACCAGCUGCCCCUAGUGGGGCUCUUACUGUUUUCUUUUAUUCCAAGCCAACUAUGCGAGAUUUGUGUGUCAGAUGUAAGCUCGGGAGAGCUUGCCUUGAUUAUACUGGCUUUGGGAGUAUGUCGUAACGCUGAGGAAAACUUAAUAUAUGAUUACCACCUGAUCGACAAGCUAGAAAAUAAAUUCCAAGCAGAAAUUGAAAAUAUGGAAGCACACAAUGGCACUCCCCUGACUAACUACUACCAGCUCAGCCUGGACGUUUUGGCCUUGUGUCUGUUCAAUGGGAACUACUCAACCGCCGAAGUUGUCAACCACUUCACUCCUGAAAAUAAAAACUAUUAUUUUGGUAGCCAGUUCUCAGUAGAUACUGGUGCAAUGGCUGUCCUGGCUCUGACCUGUGUGAAGAAGAGUCUAAUAAAUGGGCAGGUCAAAGCAGAUGAAGGCAGUUUAAAGAACAUCAGUAUUUAUACAAAGUCACUGGUAGAAAAGAUUCUGUCUGAGAAAAAAGAAAAUGGUCUCAUUGGAAACACAUUUAGCACAGGAGAAGCCAUGCAGGCCCUCUUUGUAUCAUCAGACUAUUAUAAUGAAAAUGACUGGAAUUGCCAACAAACUCUGAAUACAGUGCUCACGGAAAUUUCUCAAGGAGCAUUCAGUAAUCCAAACGCUGCAGC